UUGGAGGGCAAGUCUGGUGCCAGCAGCCGCGGUAAUUCCAGCUCCAAUAGCGUAUAUUAAAGUUGUUGCAGUUAAAAAGCUCGUAGUUGAACCUCGGGGUCUACCCAUUGGUCAGGCUUAAUUGUCUGCACUGGUGAGAUGGAUCUCUACCUUCUGAGGAACUUUCAUGCCAUUCAUUUGGUGUGAUGGGAAAUCAGGACUGUUACUUUGAAAAAAUUAGAGUGUUUAAAGCAGGCUCACGCUUGAAUACAUUAGCAUGGAAUAAUGAAAUAGGACAUCCGAUUCUAUUUUGUUGGUUUCUAGGAUCGAUGUAAUGAUUAAUAGGGAUAGUUGGGGGCAUUAGUAUUCAAUUGUCAGAGGUGAAAUUCUUGGAUUUAUUGAAGACUAACUACUGCGAAAGCAUUUGCCAAGGAUGUUUUCAUUAAUCAAGAACGAAAGUUAGGGGAUCGAAGACGAUCAGAUACCGUCGUAGUCUUAACCAUAAACUAUGCCGACUAGGGAUCGGAUGAUGUUAAUUUUUUAAUGACUCAUUCGGCGCCUUACGGGAAAC
rnacentral:rRNA from 1 species